CGCUAGUAGUUGAAGCUGCCAGCAUGAUCUAAACUUCCCCUUGACAGCUAGGAAAGAUCAGAUCAUAUGGUAGCUUCACCUGUUAUUGGC
rnacentral:pre_miRNA from 1 species